rnacentral:misc_RNA from 1 species
CAACAUUGAUUCUGCCAUAACCACCCUUUUUUCCAUUUCAGCUAUUGAUGCCAUGGCAGCUUCAUACUUUUCCUGAAGCACUUGAGCAGCAUAUCUCUGUGCUGCUGCAUCUUGUUCGGCAUAUCUGCGAGCAUCUUCUGUUACCUUUUGCUCUUGUUCUACCCGCAUUAAAACCUGAAGCAUGGCAUUUUCUUGUUCCUGCUUAUCAGCAAG